CACGUAGGGGGCAAGCGUUGUCCGGAUUAUUGGGCGUAAAGAGCUCGUAAGUGGUUCAGUAAGUCAGGUGUGAAACCUCCAGGCUCAACCUGGAGACGCCACUUGAUACUGCUGUGACUGGAGUCCGGUAGGGGAGCGGUGGAAUUCCUGGUGUAGCGGUGAAAUGCGCAGAUAUCAGGAGGAACACCAGCGGCGAAGGCGGCGCUCUGGGCCGGUACUGACGCUGAGGCGCGAAAGCGUGGGGAGCAAACGGG
rnacentral:rRNA from 1 species